rnacentral:rRNA from 1 species
UAGUGAGUUUGAUCCUGGCUCAGAUUGAACGCUGGCGGCGUGCUUAACACAUGCAAGUCGAGCGGAAAGGCCACUUCGGUGGUACUCGAGCGGCGAACGGGUGAGUAACACGUGAGUAAUCUGCCCCUGGCUUUGGGAUAGCCACCGGAAACGGUGAUUAAUACCGGAUACGACCACUUCUCGCAUGGGAUGGUGGUGGAAAGUUUUUUCGGCCAGGGAUGUGCUCGCGGCCUAUCAGCUUGAUGGUGAGGUAAUGGCUCACCAUGGCUUCGACGGGUAGCCGGCCUGAGAGGGUGACCGGUCACACUGGGGACUGAGACACGGCCCAGACUCGUAC